rnacentral:misc_RNA from 1 species
GCGUUAAUCGGAAUUACUGGGCGGAAGUGCGCAGGCGGUUCGAAAAGAAAGGAUGUGAAAUCCCAGAGCUUAACUUUGAACUCAUUAAUCACCGAGCUAGAGUGUCAGAGGGAGGUGGAAUUCCGCGUGUAGCAGUGAAAUGCGUAGAUAUGCGGAGGAACACCGAUGGCGAAGGCAGCCUCCUGGGAUAACACUGACGCUCAUGCACGAAAGCGGGGAGCAAACAGGAUUAGAUACCCUGGUAGUCCACGCCCUAAACGAUGUCAACUAGCUGUUGGGGCCUUCGCCUUGGUAGCGCAGCUAACGCGGUGAAGUUGACCGCCUGGGGAGUACGGUCGCAAGAUUAAAACUCAGCAAAUUGACGGGGACUCCGCACGCGGUGGAUGAUGUGGAUUAAUUCGAUGCAACGCGAAAAACCUUACCUACCCUUGACAUGUCUGGAAUCCCUGAAGAGAUUUGGGAGUGCCUGCAAGAGAACCGGAACACAGGUGCUGUAUGGCUGCCGCCUGUGUCGUGAGAUGUUGGGUUAAGUCCCGCAACGAGCGGCAACCCUGUCAUUAGUUGCUACGAAAGGGCACUCUAUCGAGACUGCCGGUGACAAACCGGAGGAAGGUGGGGAUGACGUCAAGUCCUCUUUGGCCCUUAUGGGUAGGGCUUCACACGUCAUACAAUGGUCGGGACAGAGGGUCGCCAACCCGCGAGGGGAGCCAAUCCCAGAAACCCGAUCGUAGUCCGGAUCGCAGUCUGCAACUCGACUGCGUGAAGUCGGAAUCGCUAGUAAUCGCGGAUCAGCAUGUCGCGGUGAAUACGUUCCGGGUCUUUGUGGUACACACCGCCCGUCACACCAUGGGAGUGGGUUUUACCAGAAGUAGUUAGCCUAACCGUAAGGAGGGCGAUUACCACGGUAGGAUCAUGACUGGGGUGAAGUCGUAACAAGGUAA